rnacentral:lncRNA from 1 species
GUGAGCCCAAGGAAGUUUGAGGGCUUCAUGCCUAGGCACCUUUGAUGUUUUGCCUUUUGUUUUGUGUCAAACAUGAUGCACACAUUCACACCAUGCAUGCUUUUUUAUCUUUGCAAUUUCUUUUCCUUUGUCCUUUUCUUCUUGGUAAUAUUAUUUUUAUUCAUUUAUUUUAUUUGUUCUUUUAUUUUCAUCACUUUAGCUUUCAUUUUAUUUCCUUUUUCUUUUCUUCUUUUUUGUACUUCUCUUUUC